rnacentral:rRNA from 1 species
AUACGUAGGGUGCGAGCGUUGUCCGGAUUUAUUGGGCGUAAAGGGCUCGUAGGCGGCCUGUUGCGUCUGCCGUGAAAUGCUGAGGCUUAACCUCGGACUUGCGGUGGAUACGGGCAGGCUAGAGUCCGGUUGGGGAGACUGGAAUUCCUGGUGUAGCGGUGGAAUGCGCAGAUAUCAGGAGGAACACCGGUGGCGAAGGCGGGUCUCUGGGCCGGUACUGACGCUGAGGAGCGAAAGCGUGGGGAGCGAACA